AGCUUUUCCUUCUACCACUUUGAUGUGUGAUCAUGUGGACGAGCUCUGCUGAAGACCUUGGGGCACGGAAAACACAGACUUUCAGCUUACAAAAGGCUCCAGGAGAGGAUUGUAACCCUUCCUAUAGGUGGUGAGGAGCGGUCAGAUUUGGGAGACCCUAUCACAUCAUGCGGCGUAUCCAGCCAGAGACAGAGGCUGCUGGAGGGGAAAGAAUAUCUUGAAUAUCAUGGGGGCACUUCAGGUUGACUGAAAUCAAGAUGGGUUCCACCCCUUCACCCCGGGAUUUCUGAAGAGCAGCUGUGAAGUAUUAGUCUUCAAUCCCUUCCUUGGAGAAGAAUGAUCAGAAACCUCAGCAAACAGGAAAUUUCCUGCUCUAUGGAUUCUGUUCUGUCCUUCAGGGAAGGCUUUGGGGAAUCAUAAUCUGAGGUCGUGUUUUCACAUGGAUUACAGGAGAGUAAAUAUUAAGACUUCACAUUUACACAGUGACAUAUAUUUGAGGAUCAACAAGGAGGAACUUGACCAACAAAGAUGUUCAGUGCAACUUUG